rnacentral:SRP_RNA from 1 species
GCCGGGUGUGGUGGUGCACGCCUGUAGUCCCAGUGACUUGGGAGGCUGAGGCGGGAGAAUCACUUGAUCCUGGGAGGCAGAGGGUGCAGUGAGCCAAGAUUGCACCACUGCAUUCCAGCCUGGGUGACAGAGUGAGAACCUGUCUCUU